UUCCCGUCCCAUUGUCGUUCAUAUCAACCGAAAACGCGAUUGCUGCUGUUGUAUAUGUUUGUGUACAAUGCGCUCUCUGACUCCGCUAGUUGUGUGGGCGCUGUUCGCGGCUAACGGCGGCACACGUGUUUUUCGUUUUCCUAUUCAUGCAGAGAGACGCUCGUCGUUCGGCAUAAUUGGACACGGGCAGAUGGCGAACCCAUUGAAUGCAUUAAUCUUGCACGUACAACAAAUCCGAAACGUCGUACGGAUAUUUAGCGAAUAAUCGAUCAUAAAACCGUGUAAGUAUACUUACGGGAAACACGUUCCGAACGAAAAAUACGUGUUUCGCGGUCAUGGUGAUCGGGAAACAACACAUCUAGAAAAUGCACAGAACUCCGGCCUUAGAAGGAAAUUUGCUGCUGUUCAAAGGAUGCUGGAAGGUGAAUUUUUUAACAUGGCUUUCUGUUUAUAAGACAAUUUCAAGUUUUGUGAAAUAAACGAAAAAAUCGAGUAUCUGAAAAUUGGUCUACACAAAUAGCAUGGAUCAAUAUUGUUGAAAAUAAUAAAAACACUAUGUAUAUGACUUUAGAACAAAAUAUGUACGUUUGAAAGGUUCGACGUCCUACAAUGUAACGUUGGUGCUGGUGACGCAUUGCGUUAUAUUGUUAUAGCAUCACGGCCGAUAAACGUUUUAUGGUGCGAAUGGCGUUUAUUACUGCACAUUUCGGGAUUUCGAAUACCUAGUUCACCGUUUUGACGAUUCAAAUAGCACGCAAACGGAUCUCGGGCCACCCCGUUCCGUCGUUAUCGCGAUCGUGAACUUUUGGUAAAUUAAAAUACGAUUUUACAAUAAUAACAACUAACAAUGUCUCCGCGACCGUUUACGUAAUAUUAUUUUGACAUGGUAAGAACUCGCGUGACGGCUGCAGCUGUACGUGACGCUGUGCGCUUGGCGAUGACAUCAAAGACUCGGCGGCGCAGAGACGGUGGCGCAAGGACCGGAUUUAUCUUUAAAUAUAUAUAAAAACACACACGCGCGCACAUUACGUUAUUAUCGUUCCCGUCGUAAUUACGAAAAACUUCCGGUUCGCGAGCGCAGUCCUUUGUGUAGAAUUCAAUUACGGUUUUAUUAUACGCCUAUGUGUACAGUGGAGUUUGAGUGUGUGUGUGUGUUGUGUGCAGAUGUUUUGAUCAACUGACGAUCGCGGUUUCGGCUACUCGUAGUCGGUCUACAGCAAGUGAUAAGAAAAUAACAGACGAAUUAUUGUUUAAACGUGGUUUCAGUGAUCCGCAGAGUGGCGAAAGGGUGACCAGAAAGGAAAUUAAUAAUGAUUCGAUGAACUCAACAUCUCUGGAUCUCUAUGGUGUACCAGUUGGUUUUUUCCCUCGCGUAAAGAUUUUUCCCGAAAACAUAAUUGUAUCGAAAUGUAUCGAUGAUGCACUGAAGCAGUUUUAUUACGUUUUUAAACUCAUUAAUCUUUGGCGGUUCGUGGAGGAAAGAUGCUGCCAAUUUAGUGAAUACAGGAUUUGCCGUGUAGAAUUUCUCGUCCGAGCAAAGGCCAAUAGUAUUCAACGCGUGCAUCGAAUAACACCGCGCAUGAAAGUAUAUGUUCUGGAUUUUGUUGCAUCUAAAGCUGUGUCGAAAACGAAUAAUAUUUUUUUUAUCGAAAUCCAGUACUUUCCAUAAAACAGCUAAAUCACGAAAAUGAAACUGUAGAUAAGCGUUAUUCUAUAUUUUGAACGAUGUCAUGGGAAACGUGUUUAACUAAUUGUUUAACUACGCUAAUUAGUUAUUUAUACUUAAGGGUGUAAUGAUUAAUUAUACGUCUAUACAGCAUGUCUGUAUGCACCCAUAUCCAAUCGUAUUGUUUCAAGUACUACACUAUGGUAAAGUUUUGUCCCAGAUUUCACGUAUGAUUUAUUAUGACUGUAAACUAAUUAUAGUUGGGUCUGGUAUUUUUAUAUCAACGUAAUUUUAUCAAACGUUUUACUUAUGUAAAUGUAUUAACGAUUUUAAUUUUUAUCACUCACAUUCACGAUACAUUUUUUGAACUUUUAAACCUACUAAUAAAUAACUGUGCUUAACUUUGUGUGAGUACUUUUAUUUAUAUAAUUUAUAUGAAUUUUUAUUAUUGAGGAUAAUUUUUUUGCACUCUGUGUGCAACAGUAAACAAAUCGAUUAAUCAAAUUCAUCAUAAUAAUUGUUGUAACGUUGAGUUCUCAUCUAAAUUUAUAUUUUAACAAAAUAAACGGUGUUUAUAAAUAUUUAUUACAUUCCCAGAAAUGAUUCCAAAAACCACAAUGUUAAUGGUAUUUUUAAUUUGGAAUUUUAUGUAUUUUCAUGCUUUUUGUUAUAAUAGUUUCUCAUGAUAGCUGCUUAUAGAAAAUGAGUACGCUGACCAAAAUCAAACUGUUUCAAUAAACGAAUUAGCAAAACGAAUCAAGAUUAUGAAGUUUUUUUUAUAUUAUAGUAUGUACUAUACAUUUAUUUCAAUUUUAAUUUAAAGUUUUGAGAGUCAGUGAAUUAUUUUUUUGAUUUUUGAAUUUUUUUUCUAAUUCUAUUUAAAUAACGACACAAGAUAGUGAGUGACUGAAAUUAUAAACAUGUUUUGAUCGGAUAUGGGUUGACAGGCUAUAAUAAAGAAUUUAUUUUUGAGUUGUGUCACGGUCAUAUUUAAGUUAAUAGUUAAA